rnacentral:rRNA from 1 species
CGAAAGAUGGUGAACUAUGCCUGGCCAGGAUGAAGCCAGAGGAAACUCUGGUGGAGGUCCGUAGCGAUUCUGACGUGCAAAUCGAUCGUCGGAGCUGGGUAUAGGGGCGAAAGACUAAUCGAACCAUCUAGUAGCUGGUUCCCUCCGAAGUUUCCCUCAGGAUAGCUGGUACUCCUAAAGAUGAAUUUCAUCCGGUAAAGCGAAUGAUUAGAGGUUUUGGGGACGAAACGUCCUCAACCUAUUCUCAAACUUUAAAUGGGUGAGAUGCCAAGCUUGCUUAAACCAGACAAACAAUGUCUUCAUUGGCAUAUAUUGUUGUGUGAAGCUUUGGCGAUUAAUCAGAGUAUCUAGUGGGCCACUUUU